UGUGUGAUGAGCAUUCUAGAACCUAAUUUUUUACACAUUAUACACACCAUCACCCCCUUCCCACAAACCCUAAAUCCUCAUGGAUCUACACACACAUCUAGCCGAAACAAUCAACAUCCUCUCUCGAAAUCCAGAUAUCUUCACAAUCGGAGACAUUAAUACCUAUUCUAAGUGUGAUUGCUCCCAGAUCUGCCCAAAGCCAUCCUCAACAGAUGCGUUGUUACACGAAUUUGGGCAAAAAAAGAAAGGAAAAUUAAUUCGAAGGCACCACUUCCGUCCACCAUCGUCCUGGGAUUUAUUUUUCUUCUGGAAAACCGUGGAAGCAAGCCAGAUCUUUACAGAAAAAUGGCCGACGAAGUUCAGAUGCCACAAGGAGCUUGAAUUUUUUUUUUUGUUUUGACAAACAAAAACCAAAGACGUUCCACUCGUUUGGAUGGCUUUAUUCAGGUGGGUCUUUCAAAGUAGAGCAGGGGGAGAACGAAGAAGACAGUAAAAGUGGGAAGAAAAAAAGAAAAAAGAACCUCUUCGGACACACUAAUUCCAAAGGAUCUACAGAACGUGUAAUGGCUCAUCGAUUAGUGCAGCAUAACAGAGUUUUGAACAGAAGGACCUCCUGCGAGCGUCAUUCAAAUAGCACCUCAGAUUCACAGAUGAUUCAUCGGCAUGUAAUUCAAAAAAUUAAUUUUUACAGGAACAGGUUCCAAAGACGUUCCACUUGUUUGGAGGGGUAAUUUUAUAUUGUGUUUAAUGUGUAAGAUAUGUUUUUUUAUUUCUUAAUUCCUAAAUAUUUAACUAUAUUUAUCUGCUGUUUGAUGUAUUAAAAUUCUUGUAUUUAGGGCAUUUCUUGGAAGCGUGAGCAACUACUGUGCACGGAAUGUCAAGUGCCCGAUUUUGAUAGUGAAGAGGCCGAAAUCAACAUCUGAUAAGUUUAAAUAAAUUAUUUUUUGAUGCAUUGGAAUUGCUAUAUGCAAUAAAUUGAAUAAUUCAAUUUUUAGUAUAUUGAAACUUGUUGUAUUUAAUAAGUUGAAUAAAAUAUUAUUGAAUAAUUUAUUUAUUGGUUCAUUGAAAUAUGUUAUAUUUAAUAAUUUGAAUAAAUCUGCCUCAUUGAAUAAACUUGUUAUAUUUUUUGAAUUGCUAUAUUUAAUAUACCUGUUACAUUGAAACUUGUUAAAUAAUUAAUAUAAGUAGAGUAAUAACUUGAGAAAAAAAUAAAUAAAUCAGUACAGUUUAGGCGAGAAAUUGGGAUUCAGAUGCCAUUUAGGGAGCAGAUAAAUUUGUUUGUUUGACAAACAGGUUCCAAAGACAUUCCACUUGUUUGGAGGGGUAAUUUUAUAUUGUGUUUAAUGUGUAAGAUAUGUUUUUUUAUUUCUUAAUUCCUAAAUAUUUAACUAUAUUUAUCUGCUGUUUGAUGUAUUAAAAUUCUUGUAUUUAGGGCAUUUCUUGGAAGCGUGAGCAACUACUGUGCACGGAAUGUCAAGUGCCCGAUUUUGAUAGUGAAGAGGCCGAAAUCAACAUCUGAUAAGUUUAAAUAAAUUAUUUUUUGAUGCAUUGGAAUUGCUAUAUGCAAUAAAUUGAAUAAUUCAAUUUUUAGUAUAUUGAAACUUGUUGUAUUUAAUAAGUUGAAUAAAAUAUAGUUGAAUAAUUUAUUUAUUGGUUCAUUGAAAUAUGUUAUAUUUAAUAAUUUGAAUAAAUCUGCCUCAUUGAAUAAACUUGUUAUAUUUUUUGAAUUGCUAUAUUUAAUAUACCUGUUACAUUGAAACUUGUUAAAUAAUUAAUAUAAGUAGAGUAAUAACUUGAGAAAAAAAUAAAUAAAUCAGUACAGUUUAGGCGGGAAAUUGGGAUUCAGAUGCCAUUUAGGGAGCAGAUAAAUUUGUUUGUUUGACAAACAGGUUCCAAAGACAUUCCACUUGUUUGGAGGGGUAAUUUUAUAUUGUGUUUAAUGUGUAAGAUAUGUUUUUUUAUUUCUUAAUUCCUAAAUAUUUAACUAUAUUUAUCUGCUGUUUGAUGUAUUGAAAUUCUUUUAUUUAGGGCAUUUCUUGGAAGCGUGAGCAACUACUAUGCACGGAAUGUCAAGUGCCCAAUUUUGAUAGUGAAGAGGCCGAAAUCAACAUCUGAUAAUUUUAAAUAAAUUAUUUUUUGAUGCAUUGGAAUUGCUAUAUGCAAUAAAUUGAAUAAUUCAAUUUUUAGUAUAUUGAAACUUGUUGUAUUUAAUAAGUUGAAUAAAAUAUUAUUGAAUAAUUUAUUUAUUGGUUCAUUGAAAUCUGUUAUAUUUAAUAAUUUGAAUAAAUCUGCCCCAUUGAAUAAAGAUACUUAAUUGAAACCUGUUACAUUGAAACUUGUUGAAUAAUUAAUAUAAGUAGAGUAAUAACUUGAGAAAAAAAUAAAUAAAUCAAUACAGUUUAGGCGGGAAAUUGGGAUUCAGAUGCCAUUUAGGGAGCAGAUAAAUUUGUUUGUUUGACAAACAGGUUCCAAAGACAUUCCACUUGUUUAGAGGGGUAAUUUUAUAUUGUGUUUAAUGUGUAAGAUAUGUUUUUUUAUUUCUUAAUUCCUAAAUAUUUAACUAUAUUUAUCUGCUGUUUGAUGUAUUGAAAUUCUUGUAUUUAGGGCAUUUCUUGGAAGCGUGAGCAACUACUGUGCACGGAAUGUCAAGUGCCCGAUUUUGAUAGUGAAGAGGCCGAAAUCAACAUCUGAUAAGUUUAAAUAAAUUAUUUUUUGAUGCAUUGGAAUUGCUAUAUGCAAUAAAUUGAAUAAUUCAAUUUUUAGUAUAUUGAAACUUGUUGUAUUUAAUAAGUUGAAUAAAAUAUUAUUGAAUAAUUUAUUUAUUGGUUCAUUGAAAUAUGUUAUAUUUAAUAAUUUGAAUAAAUCUGCCUCAUUGAAUAAACUUGUUAUAUUUUUUGAAUUGCUAUAUUUAAUAUACCUGUUACAUUGAAACUUGUUAAAUAAUUAAUAUAAGUAGAGUAAUAACUUGAGAAAAAAAUAAAUAAAUCAGUACAGUUUAGGCGGGAAAUUGGGAUUCAGAUGCCAUUUAGGGAGCAGAUAAAUUUGUUUGUUUGACAAACAGGUUCCAAAGACAUUCCACUUGUUUGGAGGGGUAAUUUUAUAUUGUGUUUAAUGUGUAAGAUAUGUUUUUUUAUUUCUUAAUUCCUAAAUAUUUAACUAUAUUUAUCUGCUGUUUGAUGUAUUGAAAUUCUUGUAUUUAGGGCAUUUCUUGGAAGCGUGAGCAACUACUGUGCACGGAAUGUCAAGUGCCCGAUUUUGAUAGUGAAGAGGCCGAAAUCAACAUCUGAUAAGUUUAAAUAAAUUAUUUUUUGAUGCAUUGGAAUUGCUAUAUGCAAUAAAUUGAAUAAUUCAAUUUUUAGUAUAUUGAAACUUGUUGUAUUUAAUAAGUUGAAUAAAAUAUAGUUGAAUAAU